UGUUGGGGUGGCUGGAUUCUAGAGUUUUACUGACAUAGACCCAAGAGGCUGGAGAGUUACAGCAAUUUUCAGGAUGAACAGGUUGCUGAUAUGUUCCACUUGUGACAACUACCACGGCAUCAACGGGAAGAUUGCCAGGAGCAAACAUGAGAGAAUCCAACUUAGCACUGUUGCCUAUGGCCAAAAACAAGAAAAUUGGCCUUGGAAAUAAGAAUGAUUCAUACUCACAGAGGGCAUGUUAAACAAUAUGAGAAAAGUGAAGAUUAAAUGUGGGAAACAAGAUACCUGAGGAUAUUCGACAUCAUGAAGAAAAAUUAAAGCUAUCUGAAGAUCUGGUAAUUUAGAAUUAAUUUAAAUGCAUCAAACUAUUUAAUUAGGUUUGAUUAAAGAUGACAAAGGACCAAACUAGCCUAGUUUAAAAUCUAUACCCAACUCAUAAAAUCAGGUCCACAAAUCAAAAGUUUCAAGUAAAAUUUAUUUUCUGCAAAGGAGGAUUUAUAUUAUGACUAUGAGAAACAGUGGCUCAAAUAUUUUUAGCAGUGAGAGAAUUCAUAUCAUUCAGAAGCCAUGAAACAACUUAAUGGCUUCUAGUAAAUUUUGAUUCCUCAUUCAUUUAAUGAGGAUUUUAUCAACGUAACAGCACUAGCAGCAGCUAAUAACACUAAAAACUGUCUUUUGUAAUAUAUGCAUAAUAAUGGUAAUUACAGGUGUUAC